CUGAAGAGCUGGUCUCACUCCCACUGUGCCACCUCCAACAGCACAGAGUCUGUUUCCAGGCAGCAGGCAAGCAGGGCUUGAGAACUUUCCCCAGGCUACCCGCCUCCCAGCUGUGAAAGAAAAGGACUUUAGUUCUUCCCCCACCUGUGGAAUCUGCUGGCUGGAUUCAUGCCCUCCAGCAAGUUCUGGCCAGGAGGCUUCUCACCUGGUUCAAAUUGUUACAAAGUUCAGCUGGAGACUUCCUUCUCCCUGUGGCAUUUUCCCCAUACCUCUGGACACCCUCCUGAAGGAUCCCUGUGGUGCCAGGCAUGAAUGGCCUGCUUGGGGACCCAAUGAGUUCCCAGGACCCUUCCUGCUGCUUCUUCUACCCUUGUAUUUUGCUUGGCUGUCUAAAUUGACUCAGCUCCAGGAUCCCUUCGUUUGAGGUAGGAUAUGGAAUCGCAUCCACUCUGAUUUGUUGCCAGCAGUGUUCUCCAACUUAAUUAUCCUCUGUGAUCCACACUAAAGUAUUUUGAAGAAUAACAAAGCUCUCCAAGGGUCUUAAUACAGCUGCCUCGGCAACAUGGCCUCAUGGUUUUUGGAUUUAAUGGGAGAGCUGGUGUCAACAACUUUUUCAAUCCAGAUGCUCUGUGAUCUGUGUGCUUUGAAGGAAAGGAGAGGAAGUGCUGUGUGUUUCAACUGAAGGACUCUAUUGGUAAUUCUUUGAUAUCCAGCCUUGAAGCCCAGUAGCAAAAAGCAUAGGCGUUGACUGUGAUUAAAAUUUCAUGGCACCAUUUAACCGGAUAAGAGAAGGACCUAAGGUGGGAGAGCUACACUCAUGAGCUAAGGCACAACAACAUGUACUAAGUGAUAAAAAGAUGAAUCAAGCCUGUUAUAAAUGCAUAAUAACUGCCAAUUACUGGGCACUGCAACAUUCUAAUUGUUUUGUAGGUACUAGGUCACUGAUUCUCAACAGCAUCUCUGUACCAGUCACACUGGCCUUAUAGAACAAAUGAGUGACCUGAGAUAUUACAGCUUGUAAGAGGUGAAGGUGGAGGGGAACUACUUGAGCAAAAGGCCCAGUGGAUUUGAGCCAAGUUCCAGAAGAGCAAUGAGAAUAUCAUAACCUCUCAGGAGGCUAUACAGGAAGCAUGAUGCUGGUGUCUGCUCAGCUUCUGGGGAGAACUCAGGAAACUUACAAUCAUGGCAGAAGGCAAAGAGGAAGCAAGUGCAUCUUACAUGGCUGGAGCAAGAUCGUGAGAGAGUGGGGAGGUGCUGCACACUUUUAAACAACCAAAUCUCGUUGUUUUGCCACAACACCAUCAAGGAGAAUGAUGUUAAACCAUGAGAAACCACCCCUAGACCCACCAGGCCCUACCUCCAACACUGGGGAUUACAGUUUGACAGGAGAUUUGGGUGGGGACACAGAUCCAAGCCAUAUCAUUACAUAUUUCUUUAUUUCUGUUUGUAUAAACUCUGGUUUUCUAUUUUAUUAAAUAAAUUAAAAUCCAUUACUAUUAUUGUCUAUUCUGAUACUCAAAUUGGCAAAGAUUUGACCAGGGCCAGCUCCUUUGUGCUGGCUUCUUUGUCCUCUUGACAUGUCUUUACUCUUUGAUACUUAUUUUAUGGCAUAACGGAAGAUUCAGACUCAACUCUUAGUUUUUUUGCCCCAUGCCUGGAAUCAAAUAUUUCUACUAGGAACCUUGGUUCUUUUAAAAGGAAAAUGUUUUUUAGUAUGCAAAAUCUGGUUACACUCAUGACUAUGUAUGCAACACUGCUUCCAGGCUCUCUCAAUGGAUAGGACUAGGGAAUAUAUGCAAGUUCACAAACACACACACACACACACUCACUUGCAUCUAUAUUUAUAACUCUCUCCAUAUAUACUGGAAACCAUAAGUUCACACUGAAAUUUCCAAUUCCAAUCUAACACCACAGAGUUCAUUCUAGUUUUCUCUAUUUCUAGAUUUGUAACUCCCUUCUCUGACAGUGAAAAACAGGCUCCCAUUAUUCUAAAUAUUUUUACUUAUUUGAUGAAUUUUCCUGUAUGUAACUGAUCUCAUUCCUGCCACUGCCCUCUUCCCCCAAGAAUAUCCUUCUGCUAAGGUAUAGCAAAGAUUAUGUGCUGGAAACUUAAUGCCCAAUGCAAUAGUGUUGAGAGGUGGGAUGUUUAUGAGGUGAUUAAGUCAUGAGGGCUCUUCCCUCAUGAAUGAAUUAAUGCUGAUAUAAUGAGAAUGGGUUCUUGAGAAGAAGGAUGAGUCUGGUCUCCUUCCUCUCGUUCUUUCCCUCUGUUGCCUUUCUAUCUUCUGCUAUGGGAUGACACAGCAUGAAGGCCCUCCCUAUAUGCCAGUGCCAUGCUCUUGGACUUUCCAGUCUUCAGAAUUUUAAGCCAAAUAAACUUAUACUGUUUAUAAAUUACUCAGUGUGUGGCAUUCUGUUAUAUCACCACAAAAUGAAUGAAGAUACCUCCUUAACACCACUCACAG
rnacentral:lncRNA from 1 species